CCUACGGGAGGCUGCAGUGGGGAAUAUUGCACAAUGGGCGCAAGCCUGAUGCAGCCAUGCCGCGUGUGUGAAGAAGGCCUUCGGGUUGUAAAGCACUUUCAGCGGGGAGGAAGGCGUUAAGGUUAAUAACCUUGGCGAUUGACGUUACCCGCAGAAGAAGCACCGGCUAACUCCGUGCCAGCAGCCGCGGUAAUACGGAGGGUGCAAGCGUUAAUCGGAAUUACUGGGCGUAAAGCGCACGCAGGCGGUCUGUCAAGUCGGAUGUGAAAUCCCCGGGCUCAACCUGGGAACUGCAUUCGAAACUGGCAGGCUAGAGUCUUGUAGAGGGGGGUAGAAUUCCAGGUGUAGCGGUGAAAUGCGUAGAGAUCUGGAGGAAUACCGGUGGCGAAGGCGGCCCCCUAGACAAAGACUGACGCUCAGGUGCGAAAGCGUGGGGAGCAAACAGGAUUAGAUACCCGAGUAGUC
rnacentral:rRNA from 1 species